AUGAACGCUAGCUACAGGCUUAACCCCUGCAAGUCGAGGGGCAGCGGUAUCGAAAGCUUGCUUUCGGUAGCCGGCGACCGGCGCACGGGUGAGUAACGCGUAUCGAACCUGCCUCAUACUCGGGAAUAGCCUUGCGAAAGUAAGAUUAAUGCCCGGUGUUUUCAGAGUCCCGCCUGAGGCUUUGAACAAAGAUUUAUCGGUAUGAGAUGGCGAUGCGUCCCAUUAGCUUGUUGGCGGGGUAACGGCCCACCAAGGCAUCGAUGGGUAGGGGUUCUGAGAGGAAGGUCCCCCACAUUGGAACUGAGACACGGUCCAAACUCCUACGGGAGGCAGCAGUGAGGAAUAGUGGGCAAUGGGCGGAAGCCUGAACCAGCCAAGUAGCGUGCAGGAAGACGGCCCUCCGGGUUGUAAACUGCUUUUAGUUGGGAAUAAAACGGGGCUCGUGAGCCCCCUUGCAUGUACCAUCAGAAAAAGGACCGGCUAAUUCCGUG
rnacentral:rRNA from 1 species